rnacentral:rRNA from 1 species
AGAGUUUGAUCAUGGCUCAGGAUGAACGCUAGCUACAGGCUUAACACAUGCAAGUCGGAGGGGAAACGAUAUUGGAAGCUUGUCUUCCGAUAGGCGUCGACCGGCGUACGGGUGAGUAACGCGUAUCCAACCUCGCCCACCACUUGGGGAUAACCUUGCGAAAGUAAGACUAAUACCCAAUGACGUCUCUAGAAGACAUCUGAAAGAGAUUAAAGAUUUAUCGGUGAUGGAUGGGGAUGCGUCUGAUUAGCUUGUUGGCGGGGUAACGGCCCACCAAGGCGACGAUCAGUAGGGGUUCUGAGAGGAAGGCCCCCCACAUUGGAACUGAGACACGGUCCAAACUCCUACGGGAGGCAGCA